CGCCCUUUGAAAGGUUUUAACCAAAGAAUAAAGGGUACUGCCUGCCCGGUGACGUAGAAGUUUAACGGCCGCGGUAUCUUGACCGUGCAAAGGUAGCAUAAUCAUUUGCCUUUUAAAUGGAGGCUGGCAUGAAUGGCAAGACGGAAAUUUGACUGUCUCUUUCUUAAUAACCCUGAAUUUUAUAUCCUAGUGAAGAAGCUGGGAUAAGGUCGUGGGACGAGAAGACCCUGUUGAGCUUUAACAACAAAAGUAGGCACAAUUUUUUUAUUGUUAAACUAAUUAAAGUGAAAAAAUGUUUGCUUACGAAUUUAUUUAUGAUAGAAAAGGUGGUGUGCUUGUAUUGUUUUGGUUGGGGCAACCGCGGAGUAUAGGAAACCUCCGCUUUGAAAAGUAAAAAAGUACAGUUUUUAUUUGGAAAGUUUCUGUAAGAGUGAUCCACUUGUUGGGUGAUCAAAGGAAAAAGUUACCACAGGGAUAACAGCGUAAUUUUUUUGGAGAGUUCAUAUUGAUAAAAAAGUUUGCGACCUCGAUGUUGGAUCGAGACUUCCUGGGGGUGCAGAAGCUCCCGAGGGUUGGUCUGUUCGACCAUUAAAGUC
rnacentral:rRNA from 1 species